rnacentral:lncRNA from 1 species
UUUGCCAUCUAUAAUGAGAGCAUAUCAUGGGCAAGGGGAUGGUUUUGGAGUGAAACUGAUCUCAGUUUAAUUUCAGUUCUGUUUCUUAUUCCGUGUAUGACUUUGGACAAGGUUAUUUGACUUUCCUGAGUUUCACAUUUGUCAUCUGUAAAGUGGUAAUAAUAAUAACACCUGAAUCUCAAAUUUGUUGUAAGGAUUAGAUCAGGUAGUGUGUGUAAAGGACUUACUACAGUUUUUCGCAUAUAGUGACUUCUCAAUAAAUGGUAAUUGUUAUCAUUAUCAUGACUUUUAUUGCAGUAGCCACACAAGAGAAAAAAGCAUGAUACUGCCUUCUGAUCCCCAAGGGAUUCCUCCUUCAAAGAUAAAGUAUACUACUGGGAUCCUUAUUCAAUCUACAGAACACAGAAAAUUAUUUGAGGAACUAUUUUCUCAUUUCUCUCAAGAAUGGUAGCUAACCAGUGCCAUCCUUUUUACAGGAAAGAUGUUAAUUCAUGAUUUACAAAUAGUAUUUUAGGACGUUAAUUCUCUCCCCUUGAAAACGGCAGAGUGACCCCCAACACUCAGUGGAAUAAUGGGCUGAAAAUAUAAUUUUAGAAUCAGUAAUAAAGUUUUCAAGACACUUAGAGACAUCUUGGGUUAGCACAAAAUAAACGAGAAGGUUUUCUUCGCAUGUGUCUUUUAACUGUGUUGUGCUUCUAAGGUAGAGAAGACAAUUCUGUGACCAAUGGAUCAGAGAUCAGAAGAGCGAUUCAACAACUCACUCUAGGGAUAACUUAGGGCAGUCCCUUAUGCACCAGCAGCUUCUGUGUAUUUAUAAUGAGGAUAACACUCACUCUGUUGAUCUCACUCAGCCUUGGGCAUUUUAAAUUACAUCAUAUAUUUGGAAGUGCCUUACAAUUUGUAAAGUGCUGUACAAAUCUUAGUGAUUAUGAAGAUGAUUAUUCUGCUUUCCUGCCAUCCGGCUUCCUCCACCAGAUGCCCCUAAUGAGCCCAGAUCUCUACCAGCAACUCAACUGGUUCUGAAAUGAGGACACAUGUAGCUUUGGUUGAAAUAAUCAACUUUUGUUUAUUCUUUUGCUGCUUUCAUUCUUGUGAAGCUGGGCUUUCCUUGGCAUUUUCAUUGACGAUUAAAGAUCCCAGGUACUAUUUCUUUCUAACUGCUCUUCUGAAAAAUGUUAAAAACUCAUGGCAUCUGUCAGCUCCAUCAGGCCACUUACUGGGUUCCCAAAUCCCAGGGAAUUGCCCAGAAGGCCUGGAUGAGUGUUUUAUUGCACUGGAUGGAGUUAUCUUCUGAUUUGUUUUUGCAGGUCAGAAGCAUUAACAAUGAAUUUAGCUUGCUUUUUUCUCUGUCUUUCCUUCUCUCUCCCUCUCUCUCUCUCUCUCUCUCUCUCUCUCUCUCUCUCUCUCUCUCUCUCCUUGUGACAUGGCUAUAGAACUGAAUAUCCAUUUGCUACUAGGUUUCCUUUCUGGGCGUUUGUGUACACUUUUCAGAGGAGCAGAAAUCAAGGCAGAUUCGGUGCCAGUUAUUUUAAUGGAGAAAAAGAUUGACAAACCAUCAGUCUUUCUCACUCGCUCACUGCAAGAAAAGAUGUGACAUGACCUGCAAUAGCAUUUCAGACCAUCUGACUUAAGACUUGAGUUAGUUAGGUUUUAUCUCCUCCAAGAAAAAUAUUUGACCCUUCAUUUCCAGCCAAGCUCUUCUAUGCUCUAACUAUCAUGCCAUUUCCUGCUUCUUGAUCCUGGUUCUUCACUGGGUAUAACUUACCUUCCCUUUCUCAUUGUGGAAAAGCGAAGCAAAACAAGAAAUCAUCAGCAACAGCUAUGUGCUUUACAGGGCUUGCCUAAGGAGGCUACCUGUAAGGAGAAGAAGCUGAGUUUCAUUUUGCUACUGAGAAACACACAAAGGAUUGCCUUUAACUUCCUAAGCAUUGCAACUGAAAGCAGAAGAAAUUGCCAGAUCCCUGCUGAUUUAUGAAAUGCAUUUCAAAGCCACAGAACUACCAUUUUAGGCAUUGCAGCACAAUUUAAUUGGCAUUAUUUUUCUUACUGGUCCAGAAAAUAAUGGUGUGAUUUACAAAUGUUGAUGUCUUCAAUUUGAUCAAACACUGUAUUUAAAAUUGUAUACCUCUUCCUGCUGAUCUACUUUAUCCUGCUCUACUGCACUAUAUGAUUCACUAAUUAACUCUAAAUUUACCAUCAGUCUCCUUCAGCUGGAAGAUGAGCUCCUUGAAGGCAAGCAUCUUUGUUUAUUCAUCGUAGGGUCUAGAUAAACCAAUGUUUAAUACAUAAUUGUUGAAUGAAUUAAUGACUGAAGGAAUUGGAUCGUAACCCCUACUUGAAUGUAAUUUUACACUUACCCUUGUGACCUUGAUAGAACUAAUAGUCCUGCCUUUGUCAGGCUGGCAGCUUUAUGUCAAAUCUACAUUUUGGGUGUGUAGGAAGACUGGCCAAGGGACAAUAUCAAAGGCUAGUACCGCAAGCCCUAAAGCAAUAGUGAAGAGUGACAUAGUUUCUAGUGAUGAGUCUGUAUGUAUAGGAGGGAAGUGGGCAUUGGGAUGAGGAAGGAAUCAAGGAUUAUUCUCUUAUAGCCAUGGAUAUAUUCAAAUGUGUGGAAUGAAUGGAUGAGUAAAUGCAACAUUUGACAAUUU